UCUGAAAUGAGAAAGAGAAGAUGAGGCAGGGUUUCUGAGAAGCUGAAUAGCUGUAGGGAGCCAUUGAAGAAAAACAUCUGGACUUUUUUUGUCACAUUCACUGUAUUUUAUUUUUUUUUUUCAAUUCCUUUUACAAAAGUAAAGGAGAAAAAAAAAUGUGAAGUUUUGUUUAACUUUGCUGUAGUUCACCUUUUACUUAGGAGCAAGCUGUAUGUUUGGGUUUAUCUAAACUCAGCCAAUUGCUUCUCUAACCUGGCAUGGUUCUAUGAUGUUCACCUUCAGAUUCUAAAGGCGUUAAACUAAUUGAUUCCUCAGAUCUGUGAGUGCUUCUACAAACUUAUGGAAGUAGCAUUGACUGUUGUCCUCGUAAAGAACAAGAACUCAUCUUCCAGAAAUGUGUGGUUGCCUUCUGUUGCCUGAAUCAGGGUGGGAAACUAGAAGAAUACCUGUUUGCUGUCCUGUGGAUUUGUUUUCUUCUAUUAGUCUGUCUUGUUAAAAAUUCAACAGAUGUGAAGUAUUUGUUUAAAGACUUGACCUGCUUCUGCUAUAAUACCUAUACUCUAAAACUAGGUAAGUUGACAACACAGAUAAUAUGGACUCCUAAUAUACCAGAACACACACAGGAAACAAAGCUUUUGUAAUAGUGUGUCACUAGAUUGUAAUGUCUUCAACAGGUUUAUCUUAUUAUUUGUUCUCUGGAUCUUGUUAACUGUCCUAGAUUUUACUGGCACUGAAUAGAUUUUACAAAUAAAUACCUAUUUCUUGGUGUUUGCUUUGUUUACAAGCUUAUCUGUCUGUUGUAAAGUACAGAAUUUCAUAAAAUGAACAGUAAAGACAAAGAGCUAAUUGGUUAUAGCAAGAAUACACGUUAGAUUAAGACUAGAAGGCAGAAAACAUAAGCAUGGAUGGCAGCUUCUGUGUGCUUGAGAGGGUUGAUAUUAACUGAAAAUAAACUUUGCUUUCUACUCUUUGCUUGGCUGUUGUUGAAAGCUAUGGUACUGUCUAUGCACUAACAGCAUCUCUAAUUCCAUCUUUUGAAGCCUGUGGUUUUAGUACUGCUUCUCUUCCGAUGACUUAAAAAAAGACAAUGUCAGAACAGUAUUAUAAAUGGAGCAGACAGGCUUCUGUGGAGAUUUUACUUUGCCAGAUUGCUUUGUUCUGUUUCCUAUAUUUCUAAAGCAUGUACACAGCAGUUCUAAAGAAGCUGUGGGCUUUCCUCUACAGUUGUAACGUUUGUGCUGGAAGGUGCAGCAACUCUGGGGAUGAUGAGAGCUUAAGCAAAAUGAAGACACAGGAAUAUUGACAUAAUUUAUCUCAAAUAUAGAGCCAAAGCAUGUUACAUAUUUUAUGCCUUUCUGAACUAAAUAAACAGGGUAUUUGAAGAAAGGGUGCAUUUCUUGGCUUUUUUUUUUUUUUUUUUAAUAAAAAUAUAUUCUACUGAAGCCUGCAAAAAUGAAGUCUGAGAAGCAAAGAAUAACAACAUUUUGUGUUUUCAGUCUGUGGAUCUUCUUGAUACCUCCAGGAGCUGCAUGCACAGCCAGAUGUAAAAGACUCUGCAGGUGAAAAUUCUGAAAAUACUUAUCUGCAUACCAGCAUAGCUUCAGCCCACAGCUAGUAUUAUGAAAUUAAUGAAAUACAUACUUCCAGAUCUCCUGAGAUGUUGGCUCCUGCAAGGAUGCCAGUGGCAGCUGGGAAAAAGAUGGCAAACACUGAGAAAAAUCCUUCUCCACUUCUGAAAUCUGGUCCAAAGUUUUCUGCAAAUAUUGAUGCUGCAAAUACAGGUGAAGAAGAAAGAAGCUGAUGGGAUUUGAUUCCAAAGUUACUUAAUGAAUGCAGUUCUAAGCUUUUGUCACAGCAGAAUAUGAAAAGGGGAGUCCUAUUCUAGACCUGAUUCCUACAUUCUGAGCAACAGAGAUGCCAAGAAGACAUACAACAGUUAUGGUACCUAUUAUUCUGAUAUCAUUGGACUCAUCUACCAUUAUCGAAUCACUCUCCUGAAAAGAUGAAAAUACUUACUCGUCCUCUAAGGAGGCAGCUGAAAUGUAAGGGCAGUUAUAAAGACUUAUACUGGAAAGAACUGAAUUGAAGAUAUCCACUGAUCUGCAUCAGACUUAAAAAUAAGAGGAAGAGUGCCUCGUGCUUGUUUUGUCCAAGGAUGUCCAACUUGAAAAGCUCUGAAUAAGAAAGACCUGCUGAAAGGCCAGAAUCAGAGCAAUAAACAGAAAGUUGGUUUGUUGACCAUUUGGAAUUUGCAGAACGUUUCCAAGGAGUCCACGUGCCAGUAGUAAAUUAUUCCCAUCAGUCUCCAAGCAGUGAUGAUUUCUGAUAGGAGUACACUUGCCAGAAGCUCUCUUAUGAUUUUCAAAUUUUUCAAUAGCCACGUGAAAUGACCAAGUAAGUAUUCCUUGGUCUGAAUGUUUCUAUGUGCCUUUAAUAUACAUCUUGGCUGUUCAGGAGAUUAACCAGAUUUCUUGUAAGAAUGUUUCUGUCUUUCAUCAGUUAGUUAAAUAUUGAAUUCGAGACAGACUGGCUGUAUAGUUUCAGAGUGAGCCAGGACAAGGAAUCUAUCAGGUAGAGAAACGAGACCUGAGUAUGAUCCUUCAACAUCCUUAUUUGCUAGGCUGUCAAGUGCUGUGCUAAACCACUCUUUUCAUCUCCUUCUUUCCCUGCAAAAAGCAAUUUUACUAUAACACAAGACCAACAUUCAAAAGUGGAAAUGUUGCCUUCUAGAUGUCAUUCACUUUAACAAGUAGCCUGUAAUGGAUAAUCUUUGAAAAUUUAGCAUCCUUUUUUUAGCUGACAUUGGAAAAUUAUAUAAUUAAAUAGAAACAAUCAAACAUCUGAAGAUCAAUAUUACUGACAAGUGAACUAAAUUUCAGUAAGACUCUGAAAUUUGAGAAUGUUUCCAAUCUUCAGCUACAUGGUAAAAUUUAUGUUAACUUUGUGAAACUGUGCUAGGUGUCUAGUUUGAUUUAGAUUCCUAGAAAUAUCAGCUGGAAGUGACUUCUGAAGGUCUGGAGUUCAGCCUCUCAACCAGAGCUGAACUAUCACCAACACAGGAUUAACUCAGUGAUAGCUUUGAAUAGUUGGGUCCCAAAAACUGGCAUGGAUUAAGGUCCCCCAGCCUCUUUGGGGUUACAUGUUAGAGUGCUAGACGACCCACUGAGAUAAUGUCUUUGUCCUGUCUGGACCUCCUGAACAAUUAUGGCUUCUGCUUUUGCUAUGC